CCCUUAGAUGUUCUGGGCCGCACGCGCGCUACACUGACGAAUGCAACGAGCUUAUAACCUUGGCCGAAAGGUCUGGGUAAUCUCCAAAUUUCGUCGUGAUGGGGAUAGAUUAUUGCAAUUAUUAAUCUUCAACGAGGAAUGCCUAGUAAGCGCAAGUCAUCAGCUUGCGUUGAUUACGUCCCUGCCCUUUGUACACACCGCCCGUCGCUCCUACCGAUUGAAUGGUCCGGUGAAGCGUUCGGACCGUGGCCUUUGGACGGUUCGCCGUCUGUUGGCUGCGGGAAGUUCGUUAAACCUUAUCAUUUAGUGGAAGGAGAAGUCGUANCA
rnacentral:rRNA from 1 species